CAGGAUUCCCUUCAGUCAACUUAACAGCAAGUAACACCUGCAGUGGCAAUGAAUGGCCUAUAUAUGUUAAUUAUGGAGUAAUAUUUCACAACAGAGUAUUUCUAUCUCCUUGGAGACAGACCUAGCUGCAGUAUCCACCAAAGUUGGACCUCCAAAGUGACUGAAUUUAAAAGAUUGAUACACACUGCAUAUCUUAAUUUCCAGAGCAGCCAGACAAGACCUAGUGUUGUCCUGCUUACUGUGUUCAGAUCGGGACAUGCUUCUGCAAAGACUGCAGCAACUUGUUUUUGUUUGCUUUUUGUCUCUUGGAAACGGCCCAGUUUCUCCACUUUGAUGUGAAAGAAAGAGCGCUUAUUUGCUGCCAUUGAAGCCAAAUAUACUGCCAUUUGAUGAACAAAAAGAGAACUUUGCCAUGUGUUAUGUGACUAAACACUUUACAUGAGUAUCUGUUGACUCAGAUCAGUGGGAUCAUGUAUUGUGAACUGAUGUUUGGAGCAAAACUUAUUUGUACUUGUUUGUUUAUUUUAUUUCAGAACAUUAAACAAAAAGUAUCUGUUUGUUCAGACUUUGGCUGCACAUGUUAAUGAUAGCUGGAAAACUGAAAACUUCUUGCCAAGGCAAAUAGCAUUCACCAAAGUGAACUGUAAUCCAGGAAUCUGAACCAGCAAAUUCUUUGUGCUAGCAUUCUAGCAUUUUUAGGGAACAAUAGUGAAACCUGCACGCAGAAGGAAAACAAAGAGGGGGAAAAAAAGAAAGAAAAAAAAAAGAAAUAGCAUGCUGUUCUUGGCACUUGAAUUUGUAAUUUAUUACUCUCUUGUCAGUUUGAACCUGCAGAUAUUCCUGUCAGUGUUCCGGUAUGGGGCACCACAUCCACUCUUUCCAACCUUCUGCAUUUCAACAACAGCUUUCAGAGUGCUUACCAUAUGUUUGGAUCCACCUGCAAAACUUCACUUAAAUAAGCAGUGGUCUUUUGGGAGAUAAUUUUCUUCCACAGGAGUCAUUAAGAAUACUAAGUCAAAAGCAGUGUAACCCCAUUGUAUCUGCAGUACAAGCUUACACAGUAAUACUAAGGAUACAGGGAAAUUAUGAGGUGUGCUGUAACUCACAUUGUUACUGAGGAAAUAAUGCAUUUUGAAUCAGCUUGAAUUUUAACAGUGAAGUACCCCUGUAAAUUCUUUCCUGCUAUAUUCUUUACUGCAGGCCAAACAAAUGUAUUUAUCACAAGAGACAGUUACAGAAAGUUCUGUAUCCUUCCUCACCUAGAGCAAAGACUGUUCCACUCCAUCAAAAUGGUUAUGUGAAAGACAAAAACCUCUUCAUCUUCACAAUCACCAUCAUGCCUGGGCUUCAUCGCUUACUCUGCACCAGAGAGGCUUGGAGCUUGCUGGGCAGACCAUCCACAGUCCUUUUUCAGAGUCAUCCUGAUUAUUUUUAUUUGAAGAAUUCAGUUGCUGGUAGGAAGUAGAUUUCUCUGUUUUUUUUCUGCCUGUGGGAAGCCGCUGUAGGCCAAAGGUGUAAAAGUAAAACUAAUCUGAAAUGAUUCCUACUAGAGAAGGAAAAGGUAACAAGUCCUGAAGUGAAGGCUUGCAGAAAUCUUAAACUCUGCUGCUGGAGCUGGAUGGACUACAAGCCUACUCUGGGGGGAAGUGCAGGCAUUGGGGUUGCGGCUGACGUCAGAUGUUUCUGAAGAGCCUUACUGAGACCUGAGAGGUAAAGGUUUUCUGCUGACAGAAUAGUAGUGUUAUACUCUGAGGUACAAAAUACUGUAUGCAUUAUUUUGGAAUGAUCAUAUUGCAAUUCCAUCCAUUCAUUCUCUUAUUUGCAGAUUAUUAUUAUUUUUAUUAUUAUUAUUAUUAUUGUUGUUGUUGUUAUUUUGUAUGUACGUGAUUUAAUGGAUUUUUGCUUUGUAGAUACGUAAGUGGAAGCAUACCUGCUGUUAACUAAGGCUUUCCAAGAUCUGCAUGUUUGGAUGAGAGCUAAAAACAAGGUUAGAAGCAAGGGGAUGCCGAGUGCUGAUGCUGCAAGCUGAAAGACCACUGUGUUACUGCUGACACUGGUGAUUUUCUUUCCAAAGGUCUUCUGCAAUCCUGAGUUUUUUUCCCUGUAAUCCAUUGUACAUGACGUAACUCCUCUGCACUAGGCUGUUCACCUUUUUGCUGUAUGCUACUGGGCUAUAUAUAUGUGUAUCUCAGAGAGUGAAUGGAGUCUGUUGUGUCUCUCAGACCUGUUCUUCAAAGCUUGCUAUUUGAAAUGCCUAGACGUCACCAGGCCUGUAAACACACUCUUGCA
ensembl:lncRNA